GACGAACGCUGGCGGCGUGCUUAACACAUGCAAGUCGAACGGAAAGGCCCUGCUUUUGUGGGGUGCUCGAGUGGCGAACGGGUGAGUAACACGUGAGUAACCUGCCCUUGACUUUGGGAUAACUUCAGGAAACUGGGGCUAAUACCGGAUAGGAGCUCCUGCUGCAUGGUGGGGGUUGGAAAGUUUCGGCGGUUGGGGAUGGACUCGCGGCUUAUCAGCUUGUUGGGGGGGUAGUGGCUUACCAAGGCUUUGACGGGUAGCCGGCCUGAGAGGGUGACCGGCAACAUUGGGACUGAGAUACGGCCCAGACUCCUACGGGAGGCAGCAGUGGGGAAUAUUGCACAAUGGGCGGAAGCCUGAUGCAGCAACGCCGCGUGCGGGAUGACGGCCUUCGGGUUGUAACCCGCUUUCGCCUGUGACGAAGCGUGAGUGACGGUAAUGGGUAAAGAAGCACCGGCUAACUACGUG
rnacentral:rRNA from 1 species